UGCAGGGCAGGAUUACCCACAACCACCUUGUUUUAGGGGCCCAGUUUCCCCUCUUCAUACACGUGAGAUCUGACUCCCAUCGAUGAACCAACAGGUGCCGCAUGGCUACGGGGUCACAGUGUUCCAGUCCCGCUACAUCCUCACAAGCUGCCCUUAAUUUUUGCCUGUCAAUCCCAAAUGGCCAGUGCGGCGCGUUCCAGAAACUUUGUGCGCUCCUCCCGCAAGUAAGAGAACCUUGGCACACGUGGAUGAAUGGCACAAAAAGAGCUGCUCAAUGGGGUACCUAAAAAAUGAGAAGCCCUCCCCCACCACAAUGUUUUAUGAUUUCAUUGUCCUUUAAUAAAUCUGCUACAAUCUA